AUGCAAGGAAUAAGUUCACGCAACCGGAUGAAGAUACACCCUUUUGGACAUCACUUGAAGGAAGUCACUAGAUACCUGAAUAUAGGAGUACCAAGCUUCACCGGAACCUACAACGCCACUUUACCUGAAGAAGAGCGCUGGAUGAUUCAAGUUCAAGUUCCAGGAAGGACGUUCAUGCUAGUCACUGAGCCCAUAGAGUUUUCUUUUGAUGCACGAACUUGGAGUCUAGGAAAGAGCAUGGCAGCUCACAUCGCCAUGGGACGCAUUGGAGAAGUCUACCGCAGUGAUCUCAAGGAUACUAUCUACUAUAUUUGUGGGCGCCGAGAUGAGCACUAG
rnacentral:rRNA from 1 species